CAUUAAAGGUAGGCCGUUCGGGUGCCUUGUGCCCCCGAACGGCUGUCCGCUCAACCCCUGAUAUCUUUUUGGGUAGCGAUACCCACUGUUCUUUCCGGUGUUCGUGGGCGGGUCUCUCGUAGGCUCUGCCCCGGCCCGGGUCAGUAAAUUCUUGCGAUAAAUUGAAGUCUGAAUAUGUUCUAAAAGCAAAACUUUCAACAACGGAUCUCUUGGCUCUGGCAACGAUGAAGAACGCAGCGAAACGCGAAAGGUAAUGCGAAUUGCAGAAUCAGUGAAUCAUCGAAUUUUUGAACGCACAUUGCGCCCCCUGGUAUUCCGGGGGGCACGCCUGUCCGAGCGCCAUUUCAACCCCCAAGCUCUGCUUGAUGUUGGGCGACGCCUUAACUGGCCCGCCUGGAAUUUGUUGGCGCCGCUGCCAGUGCCGCAACGUAACAUUAUAACUUCGUUGUCCGGUGCCUGGUGGGCGGUCUGCCUGUUCUUUCUCAUGGUUUGGCCUCGGAUCAGGCGGGGAUACCCGCUGAACUUAAGCAUAUCAAUAAGCGGAGGAAAAGAAACCAACCGGGAUUGCCCUAGUAACGGCGAGUGAAGCGGCAAAAGCUCAAAUUUGAAAUCUGGGGUCUUGCGGCCUCCGAGUUGUAAUUUGCA
rnacentral:rRNA from 1 species